rnacentral:rRNA from 1 species
GACGAACGCUGGCGGCAGGCUUAACACAUGCAAGUCGAACGGUAACAUAAAGAAGCUUGCUUCUUUGAUGACGAGUGGCGGACGGGUGAGUAAUGCUUGGGAAUCUAGCUUAUGGAGGGGGAUAACUACGGGAAACUGUAGCUAAUACCGCGUAGAAUCGAGAGAUGAAAGUGUGGGACCUUCGGGCCACAUGCCAUAGGAUGAGCCCAAGUGGGAUUAGGUAGUUGGUGAGGUAAAGGCUCACCAAGCCGACGAUCUCUAGCUGGUCUGAGAGGAUGACCAGCCACACUGGGACUGAGACACGGCCCAGACUCCUACGGGAGGCAGCAGUGGGGAAUAUUGCGCAAUGGGGGCAACCCUGACGCAGCCAUGCCGCGUGAAUGAAGAAGGCCUUCGGGUUGUAAAGUUCUUUCGGUAGCGAGGAAGGCAUUUAGUUUAAUAGACUAGAUGAUUGACGUUAACUACAGAAGAAGCACCGGCUAACUCCGUGCCAGCAGCCGCGGUAAUACGGAGGGUGCGAGCGUUAAUCGGAAUAACUGGGCGUAAAGGGCACGCAGGCGGUGACUUAAGUGAGGUGUGAAAGCCCCGGGCUUAACCUGGGAAUUGCAUUUCAUACUGGGUCGCUAGAGUACUUUAGGGAGGGGUAGAAUUCCACGUGUAGCGGUGAAAUGCGUAGAGAUGUGGAGGAAUACCGAAGGCGAAGGCAGCCCCUUGGGAAUGUACUGACGCUCAUGUGCGAAAGCGUGGGGAGCAAACAGG